GACGAACGCUGGCGGCGUGCUUCAUACAUGCAAGUCGAACGAGAAGCUGACUUCGUUCAGUGUAAAGUGGCGGACGGGUGCGUAAUAUGUAGGAAAUCUGCCUUUAGCUGUGGGACAACAGAGGGAACCUUCUGCUAAUACUCCAUCUGAGCGUAGCUGUAAUGCUAUUCUUUAAAUCUCCGGUGCCUAAAGAUGAGCCUGCAUCUGAUUAGCUAGUUGGUAGUGUAAUGGAUAACCGAGUCGCCGAUCAGUAGCUGGUUUGAGGAGAUGAUCAGCGACAAUGGGACUGAGACACGGCCAAUACACCUACGGGAGGGAGCAGUAGGGAAUUGUGCGAAAGGGGCGAAAGCCUGAAGCAGCAACGCCGCGUGAACGAUUAAGACCAUCGGGGUGUAAAGUUCUGUGAGUGGAGACGAAACUUGACGGUACCCACAGAGGAAGCACCGGCUAACUCCGUG
rnacentral:rRNA from 1 species